UUUCCUGGUUAAUCCAUUCUGAUUUUGGUUUGCUCAUGCUCUUGGCUUCCGGACCGUGGUGCUCAAGGUGGUCUGGCUGUCGCAUGGCAAUAGUUGAGCAUCAAGGGACAACCGAAAUUACUAUGAUGAUAUUUCAGAGAUCCCGGGCCCUGCGGGGAGAUCAGAGGCUGGCAGUGCAUGCAACAGGGCAUGUUAAUCAGGAAAAUUAUCAUUCAAAGACUGGGUCUAUGACGCUUGGGGCGAAGGUCCUAUUUCUCUCAUUCCUCCCUUCCAACCCUCAACUUUCUGGAUCAUGGAUGUAAGUUGUGCACAGUCACAUUUUUUUGGUAAAUGCAUAAGAGCAAUGAACUUGGGAGCAUUUUUAUUCUGGUGUUAGUUUGCUUGAUCUAAAUAUAUGAUGUAUUGAUCUGUACGCUGAUGAACAAUUUGGCUGAUGCAUAUUGUUCCUUAGCUGAUCUGUCUGACCACUACAGUUAUGUGGCUUGAUUGGCUUUGUGACUUGAUUA